CUCCCCUCCCCUCCCUUCAUUUGAACCAAAUAGACCCUAAAAUCACAUUCUCCGUGAAUCACCAUUUAAAUCCCUACUAUCUGCAAUCUCUCAAAUUCUCUCUUAUGCAAGCCUAUUCUAUCUCCUCCCAUAAUCAACCUUCAACACUAACUCCUCUCUGUACGUGGCCUAUUCCAGCAUGCCUUAAGAACUUAUCUCCUAUUUAGAGGUGGCUUCUUUUCCUUUUUUCUUCAUUCAUUCGAAUUCGAAUCCGUGAAAUUGCAAAGGUAAGACUUAAAUAUAGAUUUUGUUCACAAUCAAACGAGAUAAUGUUCGUUCCCAUCUUUUUUUCUUCGAUUGUCCAGAUUCACGCUUCUCCUCUCCUAACAACAAACUAUUAUUAAAUUCGGGUGACUCCUUAACCUUUAAUUUCUUCUAAAUCUGAAAGUACCAAAAACAAUUUCAAAACCCUAAUUUCAAUUUUAUCCCAAUUUUUUCUAAGUUUAUGUGCUUUAUGUUAUGAUUUGUGUUUAAAAUUUAUGUAAUCUUUGUUCAGUUCAUUUUUUGUGUGGUUUCAUGGAUUUGUUAUCUUGUCAAUGCUUGUAUUGGACUGUGAAGGAUGUUUUGAUACAUAGGAAAACAAGAGAUAUAAAUAUAAAUUUCUAAUAUCUUUUUGAAAUUAUUUAUUAUUUAUUUAUGUUGUUUUGUUUUUCUAAUUCAUGAGAUUGUUAUUCAUACAGGGCAACUCGGUCAUGGAGAUACCAUUCAACUUUCUGUUUUAGUAGAAAAUAAUUUAUUGGGGGUUUAUUUUUGACAAUUUUAGAGUUCAAUGUUUGAAUUUUGACUUAUAUUUACCCAUUUUUGGGGUAGACUCAUUCAUCAAUGAGUGAUAUGUGCAAUCAUGUGAUGUUAUUAUGGAGCCAAAAUUGGAUGAACUCAUUCAUCAAUUCAAACUGAUAAAUCAAGACCGGGAAGCACCUUGGCUUAUUGAUUUUGUUGAUAAGUAGACUCUCGUCUAUCUCAUCACCUAAUGAUUUGUUUAACUUCUUUGCCGAUAUACGAAGUUAAUUAUCGCCAUUGUUUCUAGAAGAUGAUUUGUGUUUAUUGACAUGGAAAUGUUGUUUUUUAGGAAUUCUUGGAGGUCCUAAUUCAUUUGCUAUUGAAGAUGACCAAGUUAUUUUGGAUGCCAACCGUAAUUUGGGGAAUUAGUGAAAUGUGGGAGAAGGUGUAACAGUAGGCUUAUGAAGACCCUCAAAGUGUCUGCCGAUUUUGUAUCAAAACAGAGUAGUAAUGUGAGAGGAGCAAGUUCUGAUGAAGACCCUCAAAGUAGCAUGGUAUAGGAUGUUGAUCCUAGUAGUGCAGUGUUUUUGCACACAAAUUGACAGAUACAAGGCUACUUGCAAGAACAAGCUGAUACCAAUGAAAAGUAAGCAACUUGAAGUCCUGAAACUUGUAUUAACUUUUUAAACAUAAUUUUAACUGUAUAGUUUCUAUAUGUUAUCUUUCAAAUUUCAUUCAUUUUGCGGAAAUGGUAGUGCUCUUUGAAUGGGUUUGAAAUUAUUCUACGCCAGCUACAGAAGUUUACACCUGAACUAACAUCAUGUAAGUUUUGAAAUGAUUCAAGUUUAUUUUAUUAUAAUGAUGGAAAUUGCUUUAAGAUGGAUUAGUGUUUGUUGCUAUUGGAGUUGCAGCACAACUUUUCAUAGAAAAUUGUCGAUUUGUUACUAUUCAGGAAGUAUUGGAUGGCCUUGAAGUAGAGAGUCUUGUUUAAUAAAAGCCAUGGGGAGAAUACAAGCUAGUACGAGAGACUUGAAGAUUGAAAUUUGAAGAUGAAAGUUAUAGGCUAUUAAGUAGAUACAAUUUGUUUUUAAGUUGUCUAGGAUUGACAUGAUUUAGCUAUUGUUAAUUUUAAGUUUGUAACAAUAGUUAAAUUAUAUAUAUAUAUAUAUAUAUAUAUUUGUAAGA